UGCUUUAGGGAGUUUCACACUGUCUGUGGC
rnacentral:piRNA from 1 species